GACGGAGGAUGCAAGCGUUAUCCGGAAUUAUUGGGCGUAAAGCGUCCGCAGGUGGCAGUUCAAGUCUGCUGUCAAAGACCGGGGCUUAACUUCGGAAAGGCAGUGGAAACUGAACAGCUAGAGUAUGGUAGGGGCAGAGGGAAUUCCUGGUGUAGCGGUGAAAUGCGUAGAGAUCAGGAAGAACAUCGGUGGCGAAGGCGGGUCUCUGGGCCGUAACUGACGCUGAGGAGCGAAAGCAUGGGGAGCGAACAGG
rnacentral:rRNA from 1 species